rnacentral:rRNA from 1 species
CCCGGGCCUUGUACACACCGCCCGUCACACCACGAGAGUUUGUAACACCCGAAGUCGGUGAGGUAACCUUUUAGGAGCCAGCCGCCGAAGGUGGGACAGAUGAUUGGGGUG